GACGAACCGAGCGAACGUUAUUCGGAAUCACUGGGCUUAAAGGGCGCGUAGGCGGGCGGCCAAGUCAGGGGUGAAAGCCCCCAGCUCAACUGGGGAAGUGCCUUUGAUACUGGUCAUCUCGAGGGAGAUAGGGGCGUGCGGAACUUCCGGUGGAGCGGUGAAAUGCGUAGAUAUCGGAAGGAACACCGGUGGCGAAAGCGGCGCGCUGGAUCUCUUCUGACGCUGAGGCGCGAAAGCGUGGGGAGCGAACGGG
rnacentral:rRNA from 1 species